rnacentral:tRNA from 1 species
GAGGGUGUAGCUCAAGUGGUAGAGCUCAUGCUUAGCAUGCCUGAGAUCCUGGGUUCAAUCUCCAGUACCUCCU